GCUGACCUUGCUAGGAUCAUCAACUCAGACGAGGUACAAUCCGUUGUGAGACCCAUUAAGAAGGAUGUGAAGAGGGCAACAUUGAAGAAGAACCCACUUAAGAACCUGAAUGUGCUGCUGAAACUCAACCCCUAUGCAAAGACUGCAAAGAGAAUGUCUCUUUUGGCUGAGGCUCAACGCGUCAAGGCCAAGAACGAGAAGCUUGACAAGAAGAGACACCAAAUAACUAAGGAGGAGGCAUCAGCUAUCAGAGCAGCAGGCACAUCUUGGUUCAAGACAAUGAUUUCAGA
rnacentral:misc_RNA from 1 species